UACAGAGGUCUCAAGCGUUGUUCGGAUUCAUUGGGCGUAAAGGGCGCGUAGGCGGCGCGGUAGGUCGGGUGUGAAAUCUCGGGGCUUAACUCCGAAACUGCAUUCGAUACUGCCGUGCUUGAGGACUGGAGAGGAGACUGGAAUUUACGGUGUAGCGGUGAAAUGCGUAGAUAUCGUAAGGAAGACCAGUGGCGAAGGCGGGUCUCUGGACAGUUCCUGACGCUGAGGCACGAAGGCCAGGGGAGCAAACGGG
rnacentral:rRNA from 1 species